UAGUCCUAUCAUACCAACCACUUUAAGUGGUUCUGACUCGUGUGCAUGUAUACUUAUUGAGCUAUGGAUACGUCGUACAGGUCACUAGAGGUGACUCCGACUUAUGAGCUAGCAUAUGUGAUGAAAUAUGUGAUAAGCUAGCAUAUGUGAUGAGAUAUAUGGUGAGCUAGCAUAUGUGAUGAGAUUUGAAUAGUCGUACAGGUCACUAUAGAUGACUCUGACUUAUUAGGUAGCAUUGGUUGAUGAGAUAUAAUUGUAGUCGUACAGAUCACCACAGGUGACUCCGACUAGCGUGCUAGUAUGGGUUGUUAAGCACUUGAUUAUUUAUAUUGCUAAUGAGAUGAUGUGAUGUGGUAUACUUCUGGAUGUAAUGCUAGUAUACUUUUGAUUUCGUGUUUAUCCGUGGUAUGAUUUUCUGGAAGCUAAACAGGUGUUACGGUGAGGGAUU
rnacentral:lncRNA from 1 species